rnacentral:rRNA from 1 species
GCUGGCGGCGUGCUUACACAUGCAAGUCAAGGCAGAAAGUACCUUCGGGUGCGAGUAAACUGGCGAACGGGUAAGUAACGUGUAGGUAAUUUUCCUUUAAGUGGGGUAUAGCCAGGCGAAAGCCUGAUUAACACCGCAUACAAUCAUGAUUCGAUGGGGUUGUGAUAAAAGAUGGGUUCCUUCGGGACCAUUGCCUAAAGAUAAGCCUGCAUCUGAUUAGUUAGUUGGUAGGGUAACGGCCUACCAAGACCACGAUCAGUAGCUGUUCUAAGAGGAAGAUCAGCCACAUUGGGACUGAGAUACGGCCCAGACUCCUACGGGAGGCAGCAGUGAGGAAUUUUGCGCAAUGGGUGAAAUCCUGACGCAGCAACGCCGCGUGACCGAUUGAAGAUUUUAGGAGUGUAAAGGUCUGUCGCGAGGGAAGAAAAUAACCGAGAAGAAAAGUUCGGUAGUUGACGGUACCUCGCAAGCAAGCUCCGGCUAACUUCGUGCCAGCAGCCGCGGUAAUACGAGGGGAGCAAGCGUUGUCCGAAAUAACUGGGCGUAAAGGGUACGUAGGCUUUUUUGUAUGUUUUCGGUGAAAGUCACAGGCUUAACUUGUGAAUUGCCGGAAAAACUGCAGAGAUUGAAUCCGAAAGGGGAAAGCAGAAUUCCUGGUGUAGCGGUGAAAUGCGUAGAUAUCAGGAAGAACACCGGUGGCGAAGGCGGCCUGCUGGGACAGUGCUGACGCUGAGGCACGAAAGCGUGGGGAGCGAACGGGAUUAGAUACCCCGGUAGUCCACGCCGUAAACGAUGGAUACUAGAUGUUGGACACGCUGAAGUGUUCAGUGUCGAAACAAAUGCGAUAAGUAUCCCGCCUGGGGAGUACGACCGCAAGGUUUAAACUCAAAGGAAUUGACGGGGGCCCGCACAAGCGGUGGAGCAUGUGGUUUAAUUCGAUGCAACGCGAAGAACCUUACCCGGAUUCGACAUCCUUCGGACCGUCUCUGGAGACAGAGACUUUCUCUUCGGAGACCGAAGUGACAGGUGCUGCAUGGCUGUCGUCAGCUCGUGUUGUGAAAUGUUGGGUUAAGUCCCGCAACGAGCGCAACCCUUGUUCUUAGUUGCCAGCAUUAAGAUGGGCACUCUAAGAAGACUGCCGAGGUUAACUCGGAGGAAGGUGGGGAUGACGUCAAGUCCUCAUGGCCCUUAUGUCCGGGGCUACACACGUGCUACAAUGGUAUAGACAGAGGGAAGCUACGCCGCAAGGCCACGCGGAUCCUCAAACUGUAUCACAGUUCGGAUCGGGGUCUGCAACUCGACCUCGUGAAGGUGGAAUCGCUAGUAAUCCGGAUCAGCAUGCCGCGGUGAAUAAGUUCCCGG